rnacentral:rRNA from 1 species
UACGAGGGGGGCGAGCGUUGUUCGGAGUUACUGGGCGUAAAGGGUGCGUAGGCGGCUUCUUAAGUCUGGUGUGAAAUCUCCCGGCUCAACUGGGAGGGUGCGCCGGAUACUGAGGGGCUAGAGUGUGGGAGAGGAAAGUGGAAUUCCUGGUGUAGCGGUGAAAUGCGUAGAUAUCAGGAGGAACACCGGUGGUGUAAACGGCUUUCUGGACCAUAACUGACGCUGAGGCACGAAAGCGUGGGUAGCAAACAGG